rnacentral:rRNA from 1 species
GACGAACGCUGGCGGCGUGCUUAACACAUGCAAGUCGAACGGAAAGGCCCUGCUUUUGUGGGGUGCUCGAGUGGCGAACGGGUGAGUAACACGUGAGUAACCUGCCCUUGACUUUGGGAUAACUUCAGGAAACUGGGGCUAAUACCGGAUAGGAGCUCCUGCUGCAUGGUGGGGGUUGGAAAGUUUCGGCGGUUGGGGAUGGACUCGCGGCUUAUCAGCUUGUUGGUGGGGUAGUGGCUUACCAAGGCUUUGACGGGUAGCCGGCCUGAGAGGGUGACCGGCCACAUUGGGACUGAGAUACGGCCCAGACUCCUACGGGAGGCAGCAGUGGGGAAUAGUGCACAAGGGGCGGAAGCCUGAUGCAGCAACGCCGCGUGCGGGAUGACGGCCUUCGGGUUGUAAACCGCUUUCGCCUGUGACGAAGCGUGAGUGACGGUAAUGGGUAAAGAAGCACCGGCUAACUACGUG